GUACUUGAAACCAGGUCAGCCGAACUCCAAGGCUGCCUCUCUAUCUAUCUACAUUUUACAGAUGGAAAAACCAUGGCCCAGAGAGCUGAAGUGAAUCAUCUAAAGUAAUGCGAUUGGUCAAUGACAAAGUCAGGGGUAGACUCCGGGUCUCCUGACUUCUGGCCCAGUGUUCCUUCCACUACAUCACAUGAGGAAACUCUCUGCAAAUGAUCUUUGGGACACCAGUGGACUCUCUUUCUCACCUAUUAAUCAUCAUUGUCUUCAGCAACUCAUCAUUUAUUGAGUACCUAAUAUGUGCACAGCACAUUGUCCUAAGAACUAAGAAUAUGAAGAAUCAAAUAGCCGUGCUAUUGUCAAGGGACUUACAGUCUAUUUGGGGAAAUUAUAUAAGCAGCAAUAUAAGGUUAAAGAAAAGCCAGUUGUCAAACAUCUACCAGCACACCUCUGGGUAGAGGUGAGAAGAAGAGUAUUUCAAGCACGCAAAACAGCUUGGAAGAAGGUUGGAGUCUCCUCUAGGAGGCCUUCAUUGUCUCUGAAGACUACCAAGAACUCUGUGGAGUGUUCACGGGCACACUAGAAAUAGCACACAUCCCUACAAUUCUCCAAGAAGUGACUUGUCCCUUGGGACAGGCUUAUU